AGACCCGAAACCCGGUGAUCUAGCCAUGGGCAGGUUGAAGGUUGGGUAACACUAACUGGAGGACCGAACCGACUAAUGUUGAAAAAUUAGCGGAUGACCUGUGGCUGGGGGUGAAAGGCCAAUCAAACCGGGAGAUAGCUGGUUCUCCCCGAAAGCUAUUUAGGUAGCGCCUCGUGAAUUCAUCUCCGGGGGUAGAGCACUGUUUCGGCUAGGGGGCCAUCCCGGCUUACCAACCCGAUGCAAACUGCGAAUACCGGAGAAUGUUAUCACGGGAGACACACGGCGGGUGCUAACGUCCGUCGUGAAGAGGGAAACAACCCAGACCGCCAGCUAAGGUCCCAAAGUCAUGGUUAAGUGGGAAACGAUGUGGGAAGGCCCAGACAGCCAGGAUGUUGGCUUAGAAGCAGCCAUCAUUUAAAGAAAGCGUAAUAGCUCACUGGUCGAGUCGGCCUGCGCGGAAGAUGUAACGGGGCUAAACCAUGCACCGAAGCUGCGGCAGCGAACGUAUCACUUAAAGCGAUUCAGCGGGUUACGAUUGACGGAGCGAAGCGACGUCAAAGCGUAUACAAAGUCGAGUCGGUUUAAGGAUACGUUCGUUGGGUAGGGGAGCGUUCUGUAAGCCUGCGAAGGUGGCCUGUGAGGGUUGCUGGAGGUAUCAGAAGUGCGAAUGCUGACAUAAGUAACGAUAAAGCGGGUGAAAAGCCCGCUCGCCGGAAGACCAAGGGUUCCUGUC
rnacentral:rRNA from 1 species